AGCCCCUCCCCCGCCCUUCUCUCUUCUUCUCCGGCGAGAAGCGGACGACACCAACGCCGGCGUCGGUCGCCGCCCCCGACCUCCCUCUCCCUGGCCUCUGCUCUCUCUCCCUCGCCCGUCGGUCGCCGCCCCCGACCUCCCUCUCCCUGGCCUCUGCUCUCCCCCCUCUGCUCUCCCUCUCGCCACCGUCGCUUCUCGCCCUUCCGGCCGACGCCGCUUCUCGCCCCUUUGGCCGCCGCUGCCUCUCGCCCCUUUGGCCAAUGCCGCUUCUCGCCCCUUUCUUCUCACCGCGCGAUUUUGGGGGCUAGGGCUGCGAUCGAAGUCAAUUGCAGAAAUUCCAGGCACGGCGCCGCCGCCUCCUUCGGUACACCGGCAAUUCUUGCCACGACCCUUUCGAGUUUCCGCCCUAUUGAGGCCUGGGUCCGCGAUUUGGGGGUGGGUGAAGGAGUAUCAAUUGGUUUGUCUCUUUCAUUGUUUGGUAUUUGGCUGAAAAUCGAAGCCUGGUUCUGGUGAUGAAGGUGAUGCGAUGAUGCGAAGUAUGGUUUGGUUUUUGGUUGAAAAUCGAAGCUUUUUUUUUUGUUUUUGAUUGAAAAUCGAAGCCUUCUUUCAGUUUUUGGCUGAAAAUCGAAGCCUGGUUUUGAUGGGCACCAAAGCUCGACUGCUGUUGGUUCACCUGUGAAGGUGAGGGGUGAGUAGUAACUAGUAGCAGAUUGAGAGAUGGGUAAGCUUGUAUCACAAACAAGCAUCAAAUGGGAAGGAGAUUUGUUUCACCUAUUCCUUUUCCCCCAUCAACUCUCAGAAAUCACUCAAAUGAUUCACUCUGUUGAUCUCUUGGCUGGCUCUUGGGGCACUGUUGGUUCCAUCAUUUUAUGGACAUACAUGUUUGGUGGAGCAAAGAGCGUUUCGAAAGAGAUAGUCGAAGCGAUCGAUAUGAAGAAGAAAUCGAUAACGCACCAAGGUGAUUGAAGGAGAUGCUUUGAAAUUAUACAGUGAAUUCAAAUUUAUAUGCGACGUAGAGAGCGAUGGAGAUAAAGAAGACAAUGUGAUUAGAUACAGCGUGGAGUACGAAAAAAGGAGUGAUGAAGCGCCGGAACCCACCGUGUUCAUGGACUUGCUCCUUAACUUCUUCAAAGAUGUUGAGUGCAGCCGCCGCCGAGUGCCCAAUUAACACCGCCGCCGCCACCUUGUCUUUCUCAUUAUAUAUCAUUAUGAUUGAUAAAUAAGGCGAGUUAUGAAUCUCGCAUGCCACCUAAUAACUUUAUGUGUACCACUGUCUAAUUAAUUUUAACUAGUACUUUAAUUAGUCGA